CUACGGGUCGCAGCAGUGAGGAAUAUUGCACAAUGGGGGGAACCCUGAUGCAGCAACGCCGCGUGGAGGAUGACGCAUUUCGGUGUGUAAACUCCUUUUAUAUGUCAAGAAAAUGACGGUAGCAUAUGAAUAAGCACCGGCUAACUCCGUGCCAGCAGCCGCGGUAAUACGGAGGGUGCAAGCGUUACUCGGAAUCACUGGGCGUAAAGGACGCGUAGGCGGGUUAUCAAGUCAGGUGUGAAAUCCUACAGCUUAACUGUAGAACUGCACUUGAAACUGGUAACCUAGAGUAUGGGAGGGGCAGAUGGAAUUAGUGGUGUAGGGGUAAAAUCCGUAGAUAUCACUAGGAAUACCUAAAGCGAAGGCGAUCUGCUGGAACAUAACUGACGCUAAGGCGUGAAAGCGUGGGGAGCAAACAGGAUUAGAUACCCUCGUAGUC
rnacentral:rRNA from 1 species